UGGAGGGAAUGAGGAAAUACCAGACAAAGCCGGUAAAUUAUAACAAAGUGAAGGAAAUUACUCAGGAAGGGAAUGACAAUUCAGCUGUGUACUUUAACAGGCUCCCUGAGGCUUUCAGAAAGUAAAGUUAUAUAGACCCGGAGCAUGCAGAGGGUCAUACACUUCUAGCCAUACAUUUCAUUACCCAAGUGGCACCAGACAUUCAGAGAAAGCUCCAAAAGCUGGGAACUAGCCCCCACAUCCCUCAGGCAGCAUUUGUAGCACAGGCCUUUAAGGUAUUUAAUAAUCAUGACUAGUCAGAGGAGGAUGAGAAGAAUAAGAUAAUGAAAAAAAAAACAGGGCACAAAUUUGAGUUGCCAUAAUUACAAGUCUGCCUCAAGAUAACCCUAUGCAACAGAGAAACCCUGGAUGAGACAUGGUUAAACCACUCCUGGCAUCAGCAAGCUGGGAUGAAACCAGUGUGCUAGCUGCAAGAAGGAAGAACACUAGAGAAAGCAUUGUCCACUCCAUUCUGGGAAGUGGAGAUGAAGUGAGCCUCCACAGCCUACUCCUUUUAUAGCAUCUUGGAUGAGAAGGCUAUCCCCUCUGACUGAGGGGCCCCAAGAGCUUGCCCAGCUUCAGUCUUGAAGUCUUGAGAAAUUUCAUCAUCGUCACCUUGGUGGAGCCUCGAGUCACCUUCUAUGUGGCAGACCCAGCAUUCAUCCCCCAAGAGAUGCAGCAUGGGUGCAGUGACAAGAGAUCAACUUGAAAAAAGUGACCAGGUUUUCAUCUCACCAGACGCCAAGGCAGCUGGUGUCUCAGUAUUGGACUUCCAGCCUUCAGAACUGUGAGAAAUAAAUUUAUUUCUUUUUUUAUCAGAAAA
rnacentral:lncRNA from 1 species